GGAAGGGGCAAGCGUUGUUCGGAAUCAUUGGGCGUAAAGGGCGCGUAGGCGGUCGCGUAUGUCUGCUGUGAAAGCGCACGGCUCAACCGUGUGAAGUCGGUAGAAACUGCGGGACUUGAGGCUGGGAGAGGUUGGUGGAAUUCCCUGUGUAGCGGUGAAAUGCGUAGAUAUAGGGGAGAACACUCGUGGCGAAGGCGGCCAGCUGGACCAGCCCUGACGCUGAGGCGCGACAGCGUGGGGAGCAAACAGGAUUAGAUACCCUGGUAGUCCACGCCGUAAACGAUGGGCACUAGGUGUUGGCGGUACUGAUUCCGUCGGCGCCGGCGUUAACGCAGUAAGUGCCCCGCCUGGGGAGUACGGUCGCAAGGCUGAA
rnacentral:rRNA from 1 species